rnacentral:tRNA from 1 species
GGCGCUUUAGCUCAGUCCGGUAAGAGUGGCGGUCUCAUGAUCCGCAGGUCCGGGGUUCAAAUCCCCGAAGCGCCA